GACGAACGCUGGCGGCGUGCUUAACACAUGCAAGUCGAACGAUGAAGCUGGAGCUUGCUCCGGUGGAUUAGUGGCGAACGGGUGAGUAACACGUGAGCAAUCUGCCCUUCACUCUGGGAUAACUGCGGGAAACUGUAGCUAAUACCGGAUACGAGACCUUGGGGCAUCCCAGGGUCUGGAAAGAAUUUCGGUGAAGGAUGAGCUCGCGGCCUAUCAGCUAGUUGGUGAGGUAAUGGCUCACCAAGGCGACGACGGGUAGCCGGCCUGAGAGGGUGACCGGCCACACUGGGACGGGGACACGGCCCAGACUCCUACGGGGGGCAGCCGGGGGGGAUAUUGCACAAUGGGCGAAAGACUGAUGCAGCAACGCCGCGUGAGGGAUGAAGGCCUUCGGGUUGUAAACCUCUUUUAGUAGGGAAGAAGCGCAAGUGACGGUACCUACAGAAAAAGCACCGGCUAACUACGUGCCAGCCGCCGCAGUAA
rnacentral:rRNA from 1 species